GCCUUCUUAGCUCAGUGGUAGAGCGUUGGUCUCGUAACGAAGUGAAGACAACCAAAGGCCGAGAGUUCAAUCCUCUCAUGAGGCA
rnacentral:tRNA from 1 species